rnacentral:lncRNA from 1 species
AUAUAGUUGGACUAGGCUACAAUUUGUAGCAAAAUUUUAUUGUUGUUACCAGUUUUUUAGCCUUUGGAUAAAUUUUUUUCAUUAUUUCGAAUUAUUGGAUUAAAUACUAUAACCCAGUGGGGACCACUCAACCCUAGGGGACCACUCAACUCUAACUGACUAAUAUCAUCCUAACCCUACAAUUUUUCAUCCAAAGGUUAAAAACUUAAUAGCAAAAAAAACGUUUUACUAUUAAUAGUAUUCCAGCCUAAUUCUAUGUAUAUAUAUAGUCCGACUGAAAUACUAUCGAUAGUAUCUAGGGUUUAGUACUAUCAAAUUUUUCACCGUUAAAUUUAAUACUUUGAUUAUUUUUACCCUUUAGAUUAUGAUAUUCAACCAACUACUUACUCAACCCUUGGAGUCCUAACCGCAUAUUUUUCAAUCCAAAAACUAAAAACUAAUAGCACUAAUAUAGAUU